rnacentral:ncRNA from 1 species
UUUAUUAUAAAUUUAUUUUACAUAUGAAUUUUAGUAUAAAAUUUUAAUUAUUUAAAUAAUAAUUAAAUUGAAAUUAUAGUAAUUAAAAUUAAAAAAUUUAAGUAAUUAAGAUUUAGUAAUAUAAAAAUUAAUAACUAAUUUUGUGCCAGCAGUUGCGGUUAUACAAAAAUUAAAUUAAAUUUUUUCAGUGUUUAAUAAAUAAAAGUUAAUUAAAAUAAAUAUUAAAUUAUUAAGUGAAAUUUUAAUUUAAUUAAAUUUUAAAAUAAUUUUAUGAUUUAAUAAAUUUAAUAAUAAACUAGGAUUAGAUACCCUAUUAUUUUAAAUUUAAUUAAUAAUACUAAAAUAGUAGAUAAUAAAUAUUGAAACUUAAAUAAUAUGGCGGUAUUUUAGUUCAUUUAGAGGAAUCUGUCUUAUAAUUGAUAAUCCACGAAUAAAUUUACUUAAUUUAAUAUCUUAUAUAUCGUUGUUAGAAAAAUAUUUUAAAAUAAAAAUAAUAUUUAAAAAUUUUAAAAAAAAAAUUAAUUCAGAUCAAGAUGUAGAAUAUAAUUAAGAAAAUGAUGGAUUACAAUAAAAUAAUUUAAUACGAAUAAUUUUAUUAUAAUAUAAAAAUUGAAGGUGGAUUUAAAUGUAAUUUUAAUUAAUUUAUUAUAAUGAUUAAAAAUUAAAAUAUGUACAUAUUGCCCGUCACUUUCAUUUAAAAAUUGGAAUAAGUCGUAACAAAGUAGAAGUACUGGAAAGUGUUUCUAGAAUAAA